ACUGUCAACCUGAUAUAAUAACUUGGACAUACAGUCUUAAGACACUAAAUGGAUUAGAAGACUUUAGGCUGAAUUACAGAUGGGGAAUGCUAGUGAGAAUGGCUCCUAUGAGUGUUUUCCAUUCUCUUCUCUUAGAAGUUCUCAAAUUGAGCUUUAGGAGAGGGACGAUUCUUCAUAGAUUUCAUCUCUUUUUGGCUCCCUUCUGUUCCCCAGGCCCGCCUGGCUGCCUUAGCUGACCAGUGGCAGUUCUUGGUGCAAAAGUCAGCUGAAAAGAGCCAGAAACUGAAAGAAGCCAACAAGCAGCAGAACUUCAACACAGGGAUCAAGGACUUUGACUUCUGGCUGUCUGAGGUGGAGGCCCUGCUGGCAUCUGAAGAUUAUGGCAAAGACCUGGCUUCUGUGAACAACCUGCUGAAAAAGCAUCAACUGCUGGAAGCAGAUAUAUCUGCCCAUGAGGAUCGCCUGAAGGACCUGAACAGCCAGGCAGACAGCCUGAUGACCAGCAGUGCCUUCGACACCUCCCAAGUAAAGGACAAGAGGGACACCAUCAACGGGCGCUUCCAGAAGAUCAAGAGCAUGGCGGCCUCCCGGCGAGCCAAGCUGAAUGAAUCCCAUCGCCUGCACCAGUUCUUC
rnacentral:sRNA from 1 species